GGAUUGAACGCUGGCGGCAUGCCUAACACAUGCAAGUCGAACGGUAACAGGCCCGCAAGGGUGCUGACGAGUGGCGGACGGGUGAGGAAUACAUAGGAAUCUGCCCUAUUGUGGGGGAUAACGUAGGGAAACUUCGCUAGUACCGCAUAAGACCGGAAGGUGAAAGUGGGGGACCGCAAGGCCUCGACGCGAUUGGAUGAGCCUAUGUCGGAUUAGCUAGUUGGUAGGUAAAGCCUACCAAGGCGACGAUCCGUAGCUGGUCUGAGAGAUGAUCAGCCACACUGGACUGAGACAGGCCCAGACUCCACGGGACGCAGCAGUAGGGGAAUAUUGGACAAGUGGGGGCAACCCUGAUCCGAGCAAUGACCGCGUGGUACGUGGAAAGAACGGG
rnacentral:rRNA from 1 species